rnacentral:rRNA from 1 species
GACGGAGGGUGCAAGCGUUAUCCGGAAUGAUUGGGCGUAAAGCGUCCGCAGGUGGCAAUUCAAGUCUGCUGUUAAAGCGCAGGGCUUAACUCUGUAAAGGCAGUGGAAACUGAAUAGCUAGAGUGUGGUAGGGGCAGAGGGAAUUCCCAGUGUAGCGGUGAAAUGCGUAGAGAUUGGGAAGAACAUCGGUGGCGAAGGCGCUCUGCUGGACCAUAACUGACACUCACAGGACGAAAGCUAGGGGAGCGAAUGGG